UACGAAGGGGGCUAGCGUUGUUCGGAAUUACUGGGCGUAAAGCGCACGUAGGCGGGUUGUUAAGUCAGGGGCGAAAUCCUGGAGCUCAACUCCAGAACUGCCUUUGAUACUGGCAACCUAGAGACUGGAAGAGGUUAGUGGAAUUCCCAGUGUAGAGGUGAAAUUCGUAGAUAUUGGGAAGAACACCAGUGGCGAAGGCGGCUAACUGGUCCAGCACUGACGCUGAGGUGCGAAAGCGUGGGGAGCAAACAGG
rnacentral:rRNA from 1 species